rnacentral:rRNA from 1 species
UACAGAGGCCUCGAGCGUUAGGCGGAAUCACUGGGCUUAAAGCGUGUGUAGGCGGAUCGUUAAGUACCUUGUGAAAUCCCACGGCUUAACCGUGGAACUGCUUGGUAUACUGGCGAUCUUGUGCCACCUAGGGGCGAGCGGAACAGAUGGUGGAGCGGUGAAAUGCGUAGAUAUCAUCUGGAACGCCAAUGGUGAAAACAGGUAGCUGGGAGUGUGCUGACGCUGAGACACGAAAGCCAGGGGAGCGAACGGG